GCUGGUAUCUGCACAGCACAUCACUGAACAUACUUUUAUUAAUUUUUAGGAGAGUCUUAAAUGUGGAGUUUGCUUAAUGAACUGGAAUAAUUCGGAAAGCAGAUAAUGAGGAAAUGAAUCUCUUUCGGUCUACAAAGUAGGAUGAUUGUCUGGCCAAUGCUGCAUAAAUUGCUACCUCAAAUGAUGAAUUGCUACACCUGCCACCAACAUAAGAAACACAGAGUAACUGCUGACGAAGGAGAUGAAGUGUUGGUAAACCCACUUUCCCUCAGAAGAAGGGUCAUAAAGGGUUGAUUGACUCUCCAGAAGGAAGGAAUGCUUCUAAAAAUCUUUUUGAAAAAUUGAAAUAAAAGCAGAAGCUGUUUCAGAAUCUUACACCUCAGAAUGCAUCCUUCAUCCUGAACGCUACAAAAAGGUGCUGGCCCCAGGGCUCUCAAGCAAGAGCAGAGGCACGUUUGCCAAGCAGUGCCUCAGAGAGAUGAGGGAAAGGUCUGCUUAGGACUGUAUCACUUUUUUGUCCACCCUCCUCAUCUCACCUGUGUCCUACCUACUAAACUACUGAAAUUGGUCAGUCACAAGUGGAUUGGCUCUAAAAAAUUCCUAUCUGGUUGCAGUCACAAAGAUGGACACUUAUAUUCAAUAUGUGUUGUAUUUUGUGAGAGGAAAAGGAAGAUCUAUGUCCCCUGCAUACUUGAGCUAAGCCUGGAAAAAAGACAUUGAAAAAAAAUAUAGAUCUGCAGUGUCACUUCUUAAGUCAGACAAAGGAUGUGAUAUAAUAAAUACUUGUGCUCAUCCUCUUUCA
rnacentral:lncRNA from 1 species